UGUCUAGUCUUACUCGGGGAGCAUACGUUUUUCUUCUGCACCCGGUGUUCCACAGUGAUAGGAAGGGGUAGAUUAGGUUUUCGUGAUAACCGAAUCUCCAGUCCGGGUUUCCCUGUGUGGCUGCAUGGAUUUGUAGCGAAGGUCUGGCGGUGGUAGUCUGGUGUAUGAUGGUAACGAGGACGUAUAUCUAACCUAGGCUAGGGCCGGAUGAUGACCUUAUAUAGAACAGGGUGACGGACACGUGGCACAGUCAUAAACCGAAUGGUGGAUGCGUAGUGCUGUCCAGGAAAGACGGACAUAGUUUCAAUGAUUAAAUUGUUUUCAUUUGUAUAUUUGCAUUUAUUUGGUUUUAUGUAAAUCAUAAAUAGAUAACCAGUUUUCACUGGUCGAGCUAGAGGGUGUUGUGACAGACUUCAUCUGUUAUGCAUAUGUGGAUUCUAAAGAACUUUUAGUAAACUUUAAAUCGCAAAA